rnacentral:rRNA from 1 species
UUUGUCGGCGAUUACUCAAACCCUGUCGGCGAGUCAAAAUCAUGCAGUCUGAACUUGGCAUAAGCAGGGCUACGCCCGGUCAGUACUUGGAUAGGAGACCUUAUGGGAAAACUAUGGUUGCUGUUGUAA